CUGCUGGCGGUGCGCACAAGUUCGGCGCUCAACUUCCCGCUCUUAACGAGACCCGGGAUCCCUUUGGAGAGGCCCUCGGGAGCUGGCGGCGGGGCUGGGAGUGGCGUGGGCUUCAGCCCGCUUAGCUGGAACGGGGUCGGAUCGACAGCAAACGACCACAAAAGGCGCUAACGACGAUUUCAGUUUCUUCCCACACAUCACACUCUUUAUGUCGUUGGCAGUUCUUACCGAUUCGGAAGGAAAUAUGCUGCCAAAUAAUUGCUGGAAUGUAAACAAACUACCACCAAACAUCCACAAUCACCCAUCACAGGACAGCAAAAAGCUGCCCGGUACCACGGCGCAAGCUUUCAGAGAGAGACACAGGGAGAGAGGA